rnacentral:tRNA from 1 species
GUCUCUGUAGCCUAGUUGGUAAAGGCAGCACUUUAGUAUGUGUCUCAGCAUUGCUGAGGUUGUGAGUUUGACUCUCACCAGACACA